CAUUAGAUUUCCACUUUAAGAUAAUAAAGAAUAUUUGGUCCUUCACUGUUCAAGUCUGAUGUAAGCUUGUUACGUACACGAGUUUAAGGGCACCUGAUUUCUGUGUUUAUUUCGUCGUGGUAAUUGUUUUUUCCCCCCGAAUGAAUGUGCACUGCAAAGUAUUUGUUUUGAAUAGAAAAAGUGUUUGUUAGCCACAAACCGGGAGGAACGCGAUAACGUCUCACCCCGAAGGUGGUAAAGUUCCACUGGCUCUGACCAAUCACCUAUAAGAUGCAUCCACAUCAAAGGCUCAACUUAAGAAAAAAAAAGUGUCAAACAGAAAAAAAGUUUGUGCAUCUCUGACGUGUGUCUAAACAUCGCCGUUUGACCGCAACCAAUGAGCUGCUAGAGAGACAUUUUCCACUGGCGUGGACCAAUCAGAUUACAGAACACACGAGCGCAUGAAAGAUCUUCAGCAGCACGAGCCGCUCAGCACCAGUGUCUGAGAUGGAGACAUCAAGAGUCGCUCUCAUCGCUCUCGUGUGUGUUGUGUUCUCCGGUCAGAAGAGGAUCUCUGGAGCAGAAGUGGAGACGAGAGUCAGACGAGGAGACGACGUCACUCUCUACUCCGACUGUGUUUGGAAAAGUGGAUUUUAUCCAGUGUGGUUCAGAAACUGCUCACAUCAGGAUCAACCUCGUCUGAUGAUCUCAUUUCAAGAUUUGCUGCAUGGUCCUUUUCCACGUCACUCGUUUGUGUUUAAUGUCUCCACCAACGUACACGAUCUGCUGAUUAAGAACGUCACAGAAUCAGAUGUGGGCGUGUACUACUGCGCUGUGAGAGAAAACAAUAUUACAAAGGAUAAAGACGGCGUGAUAAUCAGCACUGCAGUGUUUCAUUAUGGGAACAGAUGGACUCGACUCUCUGUACUCGAAGAAGCCUCUCCCGGGGUUACUGUCUCUCCGAACACCCCGACCCCGUGUGUAUCAGAGUGGAGUGUUAGCUGGAAGCUGGUGUUGGGUGUGUGUGCUGUGUGUGUUCUCCUCUCCUCACUCCUCUCCUCCAUCUGUGUGUACUGCCUCUGCACAAACACCACUAAAGCAGAAGAGAGAGCUGAUCAGAGACGAAGUGGCAAAAGACAGAGUCAAAGGAGCGAUGAGGUUGAAGACGAGGUCUGUUACGCCUCGCUGGACAUCCAGAACCUCCACAAGAAGAAGAAGAGGAAGAGGAGAGUUCAGCACUCCGAUUUCAGCACGUAUUCAGAGGUCAGGACCGAGAGACACUGAGGAGAGAUCGUGACUUCUGAAAGCUGUAUCACGUCAAAGUGCAUCCAUUAUUCUGUCGACUGUUUUUAUUGAUCAUGAUCAUGAAAUGCCUUUUCAGUAGAAUCACUGACUUCAUCACAUCCUGUUCUUUAAUAGUCCAUUAAAUGUAGAAAUCUGAAAUAAUUUGGGAUUUAUUGCAGAGAAGAAAAAUGAACCAACCCGCACUCCAAGAAUGAAUGAAUCCAAAAUGGCGGCGUCUCUCAGAAAAGCUGCAUUUGAAUAAUAAAUAAAGAUAAAUAAAACGUUCUUUUGCGUCGUCAGUGAGAGACGUACACCAGCAGCCGGGCGAGUUCACGGCAUGUUUUACUGGUUUUGAUUUAUUUCGUGUGUGAAUAUUUUCUCACAGUUUAUGGCUUUAUUUCGUUAUUUAACGGGGCGUGGUCUAAUCACUGACGUCUGCUCCGAGUUCAUUAUCUGUAGAUUCCUUCUAAACUGAUCGUACUUUCCUACUUACGUGCCUUCAUACGUGAAAUAUCUUCUUCUCACGGUUCCUGAUGUGGAAAUCACUCACUCAGAAGAUCCUCGGACGUGGUCAGAGUGAACGGGUCGCGCUUGCAGUUUGCGUAUUUCAUUUCCGUGUUCGUGUCUGAUACAGCGGCGUGUGUUUCUGUCCAGUGGGCCGGUGGUUUGCAGCUGCAGCACGGCGGUGUUGCACUCUGAUUGGUCAGAAGGUGUUGAUUAAUUUUGGAAGGAGU
ensembl:lncRNA